rnacentral:rRNA from 1 species
UACGGGGGGAGCAAGCGUUGUUCGGAUUUACUGGGCGUAAAGGGCGCGUAGGCGGCCAGCACAAGUCAGUUGUGAAAUCUCCGGGCUUAACUCGGAAAGGUCAACUGAUACUGUGCGGCUAGAGUGCAGAAGGGGCAACUGGAAUUCUCGGUGUAGCGGUGAAAUGCGUAGAUAUCGAGAGGAACACCUGCGGCGAAGGCGGGUUGCUGGGCUGACACUGACGCUGAUGCGCGAAAGCGUGGGGAGCAAACGGG